GACGAACGCUGGCGGCGUGCUUAACACAUGCAAGUCGAACGGAAAGGCCCUGCUUUUGUGGGGUGCUCGAGUGCCGAACGGGUGAGUAACACGUGAGUAACCUGCCCUUGACUUUGGGGUAACUUCAGGAAACUGGGGCUAAUACCGGAUAGGAGCUCCUGCUGCAUGGUGGGGGUUGGAAAGUUUCGGCGGUUGGGGAUGGACUCGCGGCUUAUCAGCUUGUUGGUGGGGUAGUGGCUUACCAAGGCUUUGACGGGUAGCCGGCCGGAGAGGGUGACCGGCCACAUUGGGACUAAGAGACGGCCCAGACUGCUACGGGAGGCAGCAGGGGGAAAUAUUGCACAGUGGGCGGAAGCGUGAUGCAGCAACGCCGCGUGCGGGAUGACGGCCUUCGGGUUGUAAACCGCUUUCGCCUGUGACGAAGCGUGAGUGACGGUAAUGGGUAAAGAAGCACCGGCUAACUACGUG
rnacentral:rRNA from 1 species